rnacentral:rRNA from 1 species
CCCCUUCGGGGGUGUAUAAAGCGGCGAACGGGUGAGUAACAGGUGGACAAUCUACCUUCCGGAGGGGGAUUACGGCUGGAAACGGCCGCUAAUACCGCGUACGGUUGCCGAACCCUCGGGUUUGGCAAGGAAAGGGGCCCUUAAAGCUCCGCCGGAAGAUGAGUCCGCCCCCCAUUAGCUUGUUGGCGGGAUAACAGCCCACCAAGGCUUCGAUGGGUAGCCGAGCUGAGAGGUUGAUCGGCCACACUGGAACUGAGACACGGUCCAG